rnacentral:rRNA from 1 species
AAUGCUUGGGAAUAUGCCUUAUGGUGGGGGACAACAGUUGGAAACGACUGCUAAUACCGCAUAACGUCUACGGACCAAAGGGGGGGAUUCAUUUAUGAACCACUCGCCAUUUGAUUAGCCCAAGUGAGAUUAGCUAGUUGGUGAGGUAAUGGCUCACCAAGGCGACGAUCUCUAGCUGGUUUGAGAGGAUGAUCAGCCACACUGGGACUGAGACACGGCCCAG